GAGAUAUGUCUAUAGAUAGGUACCUCUAAAACGGCUAUCUGUCGUGUAACAUGCGCUCGCACGCAAGACGGGUCUGCAAAAAAUCGAAUUCGCGCAAUCACGUUAAAACGCAAUUAGUAUACAUUUACCUAAUAUCUGUACCUUCGACAACUGCGAGUGUAUUCAUAUUUAAUAUAUUAUAUUAUAUGAAACAUACGCCUUCGAUGUCUGCAAAUAUAUAUUUAUACACGUAUUAUAAAUGUUACUGUCGUUUUUUUUUCGCUAGCGGUUUUCACACGGGUACAGAUGAGAUAGUUAUAAACAUCACUGGUUUGGAUUUCGGCUUCUGUUCGCGCUCGCGAUCGGUUUUGCAGAUAAAAUACAGAGUGUAAGUAACUGCACAGUUUUUUUUUUAAAUGAUCACCCAACAAUCUGUACGAGAAUCAGAUUUCGAAGAAAAAAACGAGUCAGUAAAAGUAGCUAUUUGCAUCGACCGGUACAAAGCAGAGUUCUGGCCCUGUGGCUGCGUCGUCGUCGCCAAUAACGGAUUUGAUAUGGAAAAAAGUCCGCCAGCAAACAUUCCACAAAAUGCGAAAGGGUCUCGUAAAAAAAUUAUUAUCCGGGUAGGGCAAAAUUUCCGUUUUUUUAAAAAAUACUUAUAAUUACACAUCAAAAUAUCAAUUUAAGGAAACCAUAUGCACAGACAAAUACUACGAAAAAAUGUGUAAAAAGUACUUGGUUCUGAAGCAUUAUUUCCUUCCUUUCUGUUAUUGUUGUAAAUCAUCUGUAAUUUGUAAUAUUCUCAAUCGUACACAUGUAUACAAAUAAAUAUAUAUUGUCUGUACUGUAAAUAAGCGAGUUCGUGUUUGGCGUGUUCCUGGUUACUAGUUAUAACAUAAGUCAACACACAUUUUGUGCCACAUCAUUUCUGGAAUUGUUAGAUCUAAUAAUUUACUGUUCUGCAUUUAGUAUGGUUAAAAAAAAUUGUAAUGCACCUGAGUUCCCGGGCUAGGGAUCAGCCCACAAAACAAUGUCUACAUACCUGUUAAUAAACCCGCUAAUGAUCGUCGCACCCGUUUUGUUUACAAUAAUAUUUUCAACCAUCAAAUAAUUUGCCAUAGUCAUCGCUCGUCGAGUGCAACAGAACAAUAACAAGACAUAUUAUGCAGAUUUUAUUCGACGAAUUAGCGCUGAUAUAUUAUUAUUAUAAUAUUAUAUUAUCUUUAAUCUACUGUAACUUUUACUUUUUGUGUUUCCAUAUUAACUGCAUAAAUUUAACGUUUAAAUCGUCGAACUGUUAUAGGCACUAUACCACUAUACCAGAAGAUCUAAAAAGAAAAAUAUUAUAUUAUAUCGUCAUGGGCGAGCGAUUACAACCGACGAGAAAUAUAUAUUUAUAUUUCCGUUCUUCGUCGCCCAUAAUAUUAUAUACAGGUAACUAUAAUAAACCUAGUAGGUACUUCUAUUUGUCUAAUCACUGUAUUGAUACAAUAAUAUUACACACAGCACGAGUGACAAUCGUCUCGCGAUGAUUAAUUAUCAUUUGUGUUUACAUAGGUACGAGAAAAAAACGCCGAAAGCGUCCCGUGCGUGGUUUUCAAGUGCAGGUCCGACGACGCCCAAAGGGAAAAAUUAAUUUACGACCAUAUAUGCCCGUUAUAAGCGGUGUGCCUAUACCAAUGCGGGGUAUUUCAUUAGACGUUCAAGGAUUUCGAUUGAACUACUUAAUACGCAAUAUUUGACAAAAUGCCAGUAAAUUAGUUUGCUGCGUACCUAUCCGUCGACCUUGACCGUCAUUCGAGGAAACGACGUUUUACAUGCAAAUUUAACGCCUCGUUUUCAAUAAUUCGACCCUGCGUGUGUGUGUGUGUGUGUCGUUCUAAUGGGAUCGGGAGUCAGAUCCGCGAGUGACCUUGACAAAUCCCGAUGAGUGAAAAAUUCGUCCUCGAGUCGUCAACCGUUUCGUGAGUACGCAGAAAAACAUGAUAUUAUGUAUUAUUUCUUAGGAGUAAAAAAAUGAAGGUAUACCUACCUAUACACUUCCGACGCAUAUACCUACAUCGCCAGUGUAUGAUAUUGCCCUUAAAAGCGUCCUCGUACACCUUAGAUAUAAGGUUGUUCUCAAGUCUCGAUCGGUGAUGUUUACGUUCGGGCUCGCAUUCGCUGAACGUUACACAUUAUAAUGUUAUUAUUAUUUGUUAUUGAUUAAUGAACUGAUAUCGAUAUCAUUGUAAACAAACAUGCACCAUAUUGUACACGCGUCACACAAACCAUAUCAUAUCACAAUGUAAACUUUCAGUCCUUCUCAAAGUUGGCGAUAACGCCCCUAACCCUUCCCCGGGAGCGUCGGUAGCCUUCGGGCGGAGAGGGGGGAGUGGUAUAAGGCCCGAAGAAAUUUGG